rfam:Brachypodium distachyon strain Bd21 chromosome 4, whole genome shotgun sequence.
UAGCUUUGUCCCAAGUCAAACUUUUUCAAGUUUGACCAAGUUUAUAGAAAAAUAUAGUAAUAUCUACAAAUAUCAAAUCAGUAUACCACGAAGAUAUAUAUCAUGAUAGACUUAAUAAAACUUACUUGGAGUUAUAGAUAUUGGUAGAUUUUUCUAUAAACUUGGUCAAACUUUAAGAAGUUUGACUUAGGACAAAGCUAG